AGUCUAACCUUCCGGAGGACGAUUACCACUUGUGUGUUUCAUGACUGGGGUGAAGUCGUAACAAGGUAACCAAAAAA
rnacentral:rRNA from 1 species